UUCUUAUCCAGAGUGGCGGAGGGACUGGCCCGAUGAAGCCCGGCAACCUCGGUGAUCAGCCAAUCACCGGAUGGUGCCAAUUCCUGCAGCGGUUGAAACCGCUGAAAGAUAAGAA
rfam:Thermoactinomyces sp. Gus2-1 c26, whole genome shotgun sequence.